rnacentral:rRNA from 1 species
UACGUAGGGUGCGAGCGUUAAUCGGAAUUACUGGGCGUAAAGCGUGCGCAGGCGGUUUUGUAAGCCAGAUGUGAAAUCCCCGGGCUUAACCUGGGAAUGGCAUUUGGGACUGCAAGGCUUGAGUGCGGCAGAGGAGACUGGAAUUCCCGGUGUAGCAGUGAAAUGCGUAGAUAUCGGGAGGAAUCCCGAUGGCGAAGGCAGGUCUCUGGGCUGACACUGACGCUCAUGCACGAAAGCGUGGGGAGCAAACAGG